rnacentral:rRNA from 1 species
CGGGGAAUAUUGCACAAUGGAGGGAACUCUGAUGCAGCGACGCCGCGUGAACGAAGAAGGCUUUCGAGUCGUAAAGUUCUUCUAUAUGGGAAGAUAAUGACGGUACCAUAAGAAAAAGCCCCGGCUAACUACGUGCCAGCAGCCGCGGUAAUACGUAGGGGGCUAGCGUUGUCCGGAAUCACUGGGCGUAAAGGGUUCGCAGGCGGAAAUGCAAGUCAGGUGUAAAAGGCAGUAGCUUAACUACUGUAAGCAUUUGAAACUGCAUAUCUUGAGAAGAGUAGAGGUAAGUGGAAUUUUUAGUGUAGCGGUGAAAUGCGUAGAUAUUAAAAAGAAUACCGGUGGCGAAGGCGACUUACUGGGCUCAUUCUGACGCUGAGGAACGAAAGCGUGGGUAGCAAACAGG